CCUACGGGGGGCAGCAGUGAGGAAUAUUGGUCAAUGGACGAGAGUCUGAACCAGCCAAGUAGCGUGAAGGAUGACUGCCCUAUGGGUUGUAAACUUCUUUUAUAUGGGAAUAAAACGUUCCACGUGUGGGAUUUUGUAUGUACCAUAUGAAUAAGGAUCGGCUAACUCCGUGCCAGCAGCCGCGGUAAUACGGAGGAUCCGAGCGUUAUCCGGAUUUAUUGGGUUUAAAGGGAGCGUAGGUGGAUUGUUAAGUCAGUUGUGAAAGUUUGCGGCUCAACCGUAAAAGUGCAGUUGAAACUGGCAGUCUUGAGUACAGUAGAGGUGGGCGGAAUUCGUGGUGUAGCGGUGAAAUGCUUAGAUAUCACGAAGAACUCCGAUUGCGAAGGCAGUUCACUGGACUGCAACUGACACUGAGGCUCGAAAGUGUGGGUAUCAAACAGGAUUAAAUACCCGUGUAGUC
rnacentral:rRNA from 1 species